rnacentral:rRNA from 1 species
UACGUAGGGGGCAAGCGUUGUCCGGAUUUAUUGGGCGUAAAGAGCGUGUAGGCGGUUAGGUAGGUCCGUUGUGAAAACUCGAGGCUCAACCUCGAGACGCCGAUGGAAACCAUCUAACUAGAGUCCGGAAGAGGAGAGUGGAAUUCCUGGUGUAGCGGUGAAAUGCGCAGAUAUCAGGAAGAACACCCGUGGCUAAGGCGGCUCUCUAGUACGGUACUGACGCUGAGACGCGAAAGCGUGGGGAGCGA